UACGUAGGGGGCAAGCGUUGUCCGGAAUCAUUGGGCGUAAAGAGCGCGUAGGCGGCCCAGUAAGUCCGCUCUGAAAGUCAGGGGCUCAACCCCUGGAUGCGGGUGGAUACUGCUGGGCUAGAGUCCGGAAGAGGUGAGUGGAAUUCCUGGUGUAGCGGUGAAAUGCGCAGAUAUCAGGAGGAACACCAAUUGCGAAGGCAGCUCGCUGGGACGUUACUGACGCUGAGACGCGAAAGCGUGGGGGAGCAAACAGG
rnacentral:rRNA from 1 species